CGAGCGUGGCGGCCCGGCCCCGCCCGGCCCAGCGCCGCCCCGCGGCGGCCGCGAGAGCGGCGCGUGGGGCUCGGGGGCGGGGUUUGUUUUCGCUCCCGCGCGGCCGCGGCGCGAGGGCGGUCACGUGAGGCGCGCGCCAUGGCGGCUCCGGCGGACGGCGCCGACCUGGAGGCCUCGCUGCUGAGCUUCGAGAAGCUGGACCGCGCCUCCCCGGACCUGUGGCCCGAGCAGCUGCCCGGCGUUGCCGAGUUCGCCGCCUCCUUCAAAAGCCCCAUUACAAGUUCUCCUCCCAAGUGGAUGGCUGAAUUAGAAAAUGAUGAUAUUGAUAUGUUGAAGGAGCUGGGGAGCCUUACUACAGCUAAUCUGAUGGAAAAAGUUCGUGGUCUGCAGAACCUGGCUUAUCAACUGGGACUGGAUGAAUGUCUCUCUUGGGAGAGGAACACGCUUUGCUACCAGUGUCAGAGAAGUGUUGGCUUUGAUUUGCAUUAACGUGCCAGGAGAUUAGGUUGCAAUGGGAAAGAUGCUGUGGUGGACAUUGAUGCUAGAGAAAUGACUCGAGGGAAAUUCCUGAACAUCCUAGAGAAACCCAAAAAGUAACUGCACAUAACAUUUGGAUGAAAAUACCCCAACUAAGUCAUUUUAUGUACUGCAGAUCCAGAUGAAGCCCAGAAAGUCUAAGAAGAACAAAGCUCUUGCUGUAGACCUUCAGAAGCAAGCAUCUCUUUUUGCUUCCACAGCUCAUCUCUUCAUGGGAGAAAAGUACAAUAUGCAGAGGUCACAGGGACUGCAGUUGGUUGCACUGGAAUUCAGACUUCAUCUGACCAUAGGAUGUGCAGCAGGAGGACUUGGCCCUGACGUGCUGUGACACAGUUACCUGUUCAAUCAGCAGCUCAAAGUGAGCAGCCUUACUCAGCUGCUCUCAGCCUGUUUGAGGUACACAGCAGAUCUGACACUGGCCAGUGUCCAUCAUGAGGCCUUGACCUUUGGUGUGUCCUCUGUCUUAGAUGCAUUGAUUUCCUGUGUGCAACGUCUGUGCUGAAGGACUUGAGCAUAGUUUGGGGUGUGGAUUGACCAGGAGCACUGGCUCAGCAGGAGCACAUGCUUUUAGUGUAGAAGCCAAGUGCAGUCUCUGCAUCAGAUUCCAGCUGCCCACUGCCUUCAGAGAAGCACGUCUGGUACCCCGAGGAAGAGCUCCAGACCUUCUGUGUGCCAGGAGCUUCAUUUCACUGCUGAGUGCUUCUCUAAGUGAAAUUGAAACAGACCACAGGGAGUAAGAAGUGUGACUGUGUCUCCAGGAUGAUAUCCUCACUGAAGCUUUGGCCAGUACACAAAGAAACAGCUUUGUCAGUCCUCUGCAGUUCUUUGCUUCUUAUAGGGCUAGAAACUGGAAAGAGUUGUAAAGUUGAAAGAUGGUAAUGUUUUCAGUUAUCACUCCAAGAAGUGGCAUCAGGACUGUUAGCCACAUUGUGAAGAUUGUCUGCCUAUACAGGAUCUCAAUGUUUCUGAAAAUAAUGUUUUGUGGUGUUUUUUAAUUGCUUAUAAACCAGCACCUCAAAAUUUUCUUCUCCUACAAACCCAGAAUUUUAAAGAUAAAAACUUCUGUGAGCUGCUCCCUUUCAGAACACUGUGAUUACCAUUUAAUGCCUUUUUCUUCUGUUCAUGCAAUUCUACAUAUUCACCUCUUGGAAGAGGUAUAGAGCAUGUUCAGACUUUCAGUUUUAUUUAAGAAAAUUUUUUUUUCAUUCCGUCCUCUUUCCUUUUCCUAGAAAAAAACAUUUUAAGCAUUAGUAAAUAUGUUCUUUUUUAGGAUAUAACAUAAUGUUGAAACAUAACAUAAUGUUAUUUUUAUCAUGCGGGCUUUUCAAAACGUGUCAUUCCUCAGGCUGUAGUCACAUAUGAGAGGAGAAAUUAUUUGGAAAUAAUACAUGUAGCUGUCCUUACAGCUCUGCAUUUUUCUGGCUUUGCAGAGAGAGGAGACUCUUUUUGGGUGUGUGUGCAAUAAAGAGGGGGAGGUGUUUUUGAUGAAAUAGACUUCUGAGUUUUACUGAAUUGAUGGUGACCCUUUGGGUUGCAGUCUGUGGAUUUUGGUUAUUGCCAGCAGAACUAGUCUUGUUUUGGACAGCUCUGAUUAACUAAGUUUAAGUAGUUAAAUCCUACAUCCUGGAAAGACCCUGCACAAAUUUAGAAAUAUCAGGAGCCUGAUUUAAGACUCAACGGAGUUAUUUCUGUCCUUCACAGUUUAUGCAGGGCUGAGCUUAACAGGAACUCCAUCCCUUGAGAGCAUGAGAAUUAAGACAGAUGAAUGAGAAGCUGAAAGUGGUAGUUCAGGAACAGAAAAAAACCCGAUGGUGCAAACUGAUGUUGAUGUAGCUUUAAGCAUUGAAUUAUAGAUUUGGAAUGCAAAUUUAAGUUUGUAUACUAUAUAUGUAAUAAAUGUACACAUAUAUGACAUAAUGGGAUACUUAAUCUGUAUCACCAGAAAAUAUAUGGAAGCCUGUCGUGGAAGUAUAUGUGUAUUUUCUGAUAUAUGCAGUAAGAAAUUUCAAACUAGGUGUUUUUUGGUGACAUACAUAUGUUUAAAAAAAAAGAAAAAGAAAAAAAAAGAAGAAAAAUCUCCUUUUGUUAUACAUAGUAAUCAUCUUCUAUAGGGCAGCCAUUAACAUAUGCUUUAGAAUUGUGAUAUUUUUUGAUUUUGUACUUAUCAUCUGUAGAGAUAAGUCAAUGAUGUUAUUUUUUAUUGACAAUAUUUAUGUAUAGUUUUGUGUGUUAGCCAGAUAAGUUUUUUUUCUGUCUGUUAUUGCUUUUUGGUUUAAUAAUAUGCAAAUGCAAACCUCAGAGGUUUGUCUGGGUUUCCAAAAUAGCUGUCUGAUAGCCACCCAAUAGUGGCUUUUGCUUGGCCACUUAGGCAAUACUAUUCCUCAGGCUCUUCUUCACUUAUCUGCAUGACACCACCUCAGGGUUUGGCCUGUGGAUGUUCCAUUCCCAUCAGUAAAUAAAUAUUUGUCAAUAUACAAAUCCUACUAAGGGUUUUCUUACCCUUUUGAAGUUUUUCCUUCAGUGCUAUCCUUCCUGACAUCCAUGCAGUUAUCUGUCUGUACAAGAAAAUCUGAAUGACUUUUUGUUACUGAUGGGAAUGAAGAGUAUAAGAAAAUCAAGAUUUGGUAAUAUUAAUCAAGCUUACGCAUUGUUUUAGAAAGUGUUUUCAUGUAUUGGUAUAUUAGAUGUUACUGUGAGUUUCUUGGAAGUAAACUCAAUAUUUAUUUGGUUCCUUUUAAAUGCCAGUGUUACAUACAUUCAGUUACAAAGGCUAUUCACUUUGGUCUUGGGCUAUCAAAUGCUUUGCUAUCUAAUCCAACUGAGAAAAAAUUCUUGUUUGUUAUGUUAAUCAUUAUGAAAAUAAAAGUCUGUGUGCACUGGCAAUUGAAUAA